UCCAAUAUAAUUUCUCAUAAAAAAUAAAAAAUUAAAUAUAAAAGAGAAACUUAUUAAAAAAUAAUAAUUACAAAUUAAUUCUUAAAAUUUCAUCUAAAUUGCUAAAUUAUCAAAUUAUAUGCAAUAGUAAUGUAACAGCCUAGCAUGCAACUAAAAUCUUUGAUCCAAAAUACUUUAACUGGUAAAUUGACUUUAAUAUUAAAUACUCCUGCUAAAGUAUAAAUUAUCGAUUUAAAAUAUUUAAGUCAAAUUAGUAUUAUUAGAGUUGUUAAUUUUUUUAUUUUUAUGUGUAAUUAUUUUAAAGUACAACUUUGAAGAAAUUUUUUAUAUAAUAAUAUAGAAUAUAAGGG
rnacentral:lncRNA from 1 species